GGGGGGCUCCUGACUUCAACCAAUAAAUUGCCAUUCUAUUCUUCAGGGGGGCUCCUGACUUUAACAACUUCUUUUUUUUUAUAAAAUUCAAACUUCUUUUUUUUUUCAAAUUAUCCUAGGAGAAAAUUUAUCAGACUAGGAUUUGAUAUCUUAUCUUAGGAGAAAGAUUCAUCGGACUAAGAUUUGAUAUCUUAUCUUGGGAGAAAUAUUUCAUCAGACCAAGAUUUUGACUCUAGGAGAUAAAUCGUCAGACUAGGUCCAUUUGUUGUGAUCUUAGGAGAAAGAUUCUUCCGACUAAGAUUUUAUCUUGGGAGAAAAAUUUAAUCAGACCAAGAUUUUGACUCUAGGAGAUAUAUCGUCAGACUAGGUCCAUUUGUUGUGAUCUUAGGAGAAAGAUUCAUCCGACUAAGAUUUUAUCUUGGGA
rnacentral:lncRNA from 1 species